rnacentral:rRNA from 1 species
GAUGAACGCUGGCGGCGUGCCUAAUACAUGCAAGUCGAGCGAACAGACGAGGAGCUUGCUCCUCUGACGUUAGCGGCGGACGGGUGAGUAACACGUGGAUAACCUACCUAUAAGACUGGGAUAACUUCGGGAAACCGGAGCUAAUACCGGAUAAUAUAUUGAACCGCAUGGUUCAAUAGUGAAAGACGGUUUUGCUGUCACUUAUAGAUGGAUCCGCGCCGCAUUAGCUAGUUGGUAAGGUAACGGCUUACCAAGGCAACGAUGCGUAGCCGACCUGAGAGGGUGGGUGGCAACAGUAGAACUGCGAGCAGGGGCAGACGACGAUGGGAGGCAGAAGGAGGUGGUAGUCAAGAAGGGGCGAAAUAAUGAAGGAGCAAUGUCGCGGGAGUGAGGAAGGUUUGAGGAGUUUAAAACUUGGUUAUUAGGGAAGAACAGAUGGGUAAGGAAAUCUGCACAUCGGGAGGGGACAUAAUUAGAGAGACAAGGCUAAGUACGGG